CACACCCACUGCUCCGGAUGAUGAAACCAGCAAACACCAGUUACAUUUGCAUGUGUCAGGGCGCUGCUGCUUUCUAGAUCGCAGCUGCAGCCUCUGGUGGGUGCAGCAUCACCAGAGCAGCGGGAAAACAAGGCUCCCCAACGCUGGCCCUGAUUUCAGGAUAGCGCUGGGGCUGGGCUGGAGCCUGGGCCACAGUGGGGAAAUGGAGCUACGCAAGGGAUAAUCAGGCCUGUUAGCAGGAAUGGAGCUGCUCCCUCCACAGCUGGAGACAAGGGCCUACGGGCCCCGGCUACACCAGAAACAAGACCUGGCACUCCCAGUGGCUUUCAAACACAGCUCCUGGCUGGCCUCCACUGGGGUGAAAUGGCUUGUUUAGUCCCAGCUGAGCUGUGAGGCCUGCUUGCUUCCUGCUGUGCUGAGACUCCAAAAUCCCAGUGGAUCGAAGUUGCAGCCACAGAUUAUGUCCCCAAGGAGAAACGCAUCAAUAUCUCUUGGAAUCGGGGCACUAUGAACGUCA